rnacentral:rRNA from 1 species
AGAGUUUGAUCAUGGCUCAGGAUGAACGCUAGCGGCAGGCUUAACACAUGCAAGUCGAGGGGUAUAGGUUUUCGGACCUAGAGACCGGCGCACGGGUGCGUAACGCGUAUGCAAUCUACCUUUUACAGAGGGAUAGCCCAGAGAAAUUUGGAUUAAUACCUCAUAGUAUUAUUGAAUGGCAUCAUUUAAUAAUUAAAGUUCCAACGGUAAAAGAUGAGCAUGCGUCCCAUUAGCUAGAUGGUAAGGUAACGGCUUACCAUGGCAACGAUGGGUAGGGGUCCUGAGAGGGAGAUCCCCCACACUGGUACUGAGACACGGACCAGACUCCUACGGGAGGCAGCAGUGAGGAAUAUUGGUCAAUGGGCGCAAGCCUGAACCAGCCAUGCCGCGUGCAGGAUGACGGUCCUAUGGAUUGUAAACUGCUUUUGUACAGGAAGAAACAGUUCUACGUGUAGAACCUUGACGGUACUGUAAGAAUAAGGAUCGGCUAACUCCGUGCCAGCAGCCGCGGUAAUACGGAGGAUCCAAGCGUUAUCCGGAAUCAUUGGGUUUAAAGGGUCCGUAGGCGGUUUUGUAAGUCAGUGGUGAAAGCCCAUCGCUCAACGGUGGAACGGCCAUUGAUACUGCAAGACUUGAAUUACUAGGAAGUAACUAGAAUAUGUAGUGUAGCGGUGAAAUGCUUAGAUAUUACAUGGAAUACCAAUUGCGAAGGCAGGUUACUACUAGUGGAUUGACGCUGAUGGACGAAAGCGUGGGGAGCGAACAGGAUUAGAUACCCUAGUAGUCC